rnacentral:tRNA from 1 species
GGGGUUGUAGCUCAAUGGUAGAGCACUUGCUUAGCAUGUGCAAGACACUGAGUUCGAUUCUCAGCACCA